rnacentral:rRNA from 1 species
CUUCAGCAGACGGGGGCACCCUGACCGCAAUGCCGCGUGAGUGAAGAAGGCCUUCGGGUUGUAAAGCUCUUUUGUCAGGGAAGAAACAGCAGCUCUAACACAGUCUGCGAAUGACGGUACCUGAAGAAUAAGCACCGGCUAACUACGUGCCAGCAGCCGCGGUAAGACGAAGGGGGCUAGCGUUGUUCGGAAUUACUGGGCGUAAAGCGCGUGUAGGCGGUUUUCCAAGUUGGGUGUGAAAGCCUUGGGCUUAACCCAAGAAAUGCACUCAGUACUGGAAGACUAGAGGACCGGAGAGGAUAGUGGAAUUCCCAGUGUAGUGGGGGGAGGCGUAGAGAUUGGGAAGAACACCAGUGGCGAAGGCGGCUAUCUGGACGGUUUCUGACGCUAAGACGCGAAA